rnacentral:rRNA from 1 species
CAGCCGCCGCGGGAAUACGAAGGGGGCUAGCGUUGCUCGGAAUCACUGGGCGUAAAGGGUGCGCAGGCGGGUUUUUAAGUCAGAGGUGAAAUCCUGGAGCUCAACUCCAGAACUGCCUUUGAUACUGAAAGUCUUGAGUAUGGGAGAGGUGAGUGGAACUGCGAGUGAAGCGGUGAAAUGCGUAGGUAUCGGAAGGAACACCUGUGGCGAAAGCGGCUCACUGGACCAUAACUGACGCUGAAGCACGAAAGCUAGGGGAGCAAACAGGAUUAGAUACCCCAGUAGUCCCUGUCUCUUAUAC